UACGGGGGGAGCAAGCGUUGUUCGGAUUUACUGGGCGUAAAGGGCGCGUAGGCGGCCAGCACAAGUCAGUUGUGAAAUCUCCGAGCUUAACUCGGAAAGGUCAACUGAUACUGUGCGGCUAGAGUGCGGAAGGGGCAACUGGAAUUCCUGGUGUAGCGGUGGAAUGCGCAGAUAUCAGGAGGAACACCGGUGGCGAAGGCGGGUCUCUGGGCAGUAACUGACGCUGAGGAGCGAAAGCGUGGGGAGCGAACAGG
rnacentral:rRNA from 1 species